UACGGGGGGUGCGAGCGUUGUCCGGAAUCACUGGGCGUAAAGGGCGCGUAGGUGGUUUGAUAAGGGUGUGGUGAAAGUCCGGGGCUCAACCCCGGAUCUGCCGUGCCGACUGUCAGACUCGAGGGCUGUAGAGGCAGACGGAAUUCCGGGUGUAGCGGUGGAAUGCGUAGAGAUCCGGAGGAAGACCGGUGGCGAAGGCGGUCUGCUGGGCAGUUUCUGACACUGAUGCGCGACAGCGUGGGGAGCAAACAGG
rnacentral:rRNA from 1 species